AUGAGAUGAAAUCAGCGUUUGAAUAUGUGAUUUCACAGUGAUUUUAUCUCAUGA
rnacentral:pre_miRNA from 1 species